UUUAGAUCCUGCUCUUUCCUGCUUCUUAAGCAGAGGUUGGGCUGUGCUUACUCCUUCCUGGGCUGAUGUUGCAGAUGCUCAGGGCUUCCUGUGGGACUCUCGGUGGCCUCUGUCUGUCUUUGCUGACAACAGUCAAAAGACAAGUGUGUUGACUCUCCAAUAAAUCAAACCUCAACCUGAACGUCAGCUGACCCUUCAUGAAACUGAUGUGUUUACUCUUAUGGACUCAGAGGGGCUUUUCGAGUUACUUCAAUUUUUACAGCUCUUUUCAUAUCCCAUGUAUGAAUUUACUGUGAAGACUUAUGAAUGAUGGAGCUCCAGCAGCCUCACCAUGGACUUGCUUUGCUUUGGUAAGUAUAGAAAACCUUUGGCAAUGUGGUUGAGACCUAAGUUUUAGCACUUAGGCAAAACUUUUUAGCAGGAGCCAGGAUAUGAGUAAGUAUGAAGGAGGCACUUGAAUGCAAAACACACUUUAAAAAUUUCAUGGCAAAUUUGAGAGCAUUUUCAAUUAAGUAUAUAUGACUGCGGGUUGUCUCCCUUGAACAAAUUAGUUCCCCUUUGUAAGGGUUUUAUCUUUCAAAGUAUCGAUCAAAUCGGUGCUCAAGGUAGAACUGUAAGUAAAGUUACAAUCCUAAAACCUUUUGGGCGAUGGUUCUAAUUAAUAUAACUAAUAUUUUAGCAAAAUAUCCUGGAUUGUAAUUGAAAGAAAGCAUCUGGGUCUGAAGAAUACCUACUGAGGGCAGCCCUAUUAAGAUUGAUUCUGAGAUGGGUUAAUUUCCUGAACUUGCAAAGCAGAAACUGGAAGGUUUUCCUGCUUCAUAAGCCUGCAGGGUUUGGUGUUUGGCCCUGUUGAGACCCAAGGGCUAUCUGGGCUGAUUAACAUAUAUAUAAUUAAAGUGCACCAGCUAGAAAGGCAGAGCCACUUUCAUUUGGCUCUGUACUACUGUGAAAUAAAUUCUGUCUGCAUUGUUUAACUUUUUUUUUGUUUUUAAUUAGUUUUCCCUGGACAUCAUCCUGCUGCCUUCUUUAGGAAUAUUGCUUCCUAUCCUAAGCAGCGACUAAAGACUAGAAAAGCUUUCUCCAGCAUUCAAACUAGAUUUUCUUUCCAUUCAUAUCACCACUUUUCAUAACAUGGUAAGAAACACUGUAAAUAAUUGAGGUGAUCCAUCAAGAGACCCAUUCUUGAUAAUGAAAAAUUGCAUAACUCAGUAAAAGUCAAUUAAAAACCACAAACUCCAGAGCCUUUUGCUCAGUGAAGAUUUAUUGUUACAGAAGGCAACUAAUACAAUAGAUUUGUGGGGUCAAAAUUUUAAAAAGUUCUAAAAAGGCAGUUAAAGCUUGACAAUAAACUUGAGUAAGGUUUACACAAUAUCAAAGUAUAUUAGUUCUUUGAAAUGAAAAGUUGUUUUUUUUUUUCUUCCUUUAACUUGAGAUGUCUGAGAUGUCAGGAUUUUGUAACAUUCUUAGAAACAACAUCCACUGUGUGAGAUACUUUUUUUCCUUUUGCGGUUUUAAACCAGUCUGACUCUUUGGUUGUGCCUAUACAAUGAAAAGUCUACAAAUGAAAUGAGACAAGUCAGGAUGUUUUCCUUUGUUAAACGAAGUAUCUGAAUAAUUAGAACUACCUAGAUAAAAGACUCAAAAUGUUUUUGUUAUCUGGUUGCUUGGUGAGGACAUAGCCAACAUUUCAAUGGAAUGUGGUAUCUUGUACAACUGCAUAUAAUUUUUUAAAAAAUAAACAAUGACUUUGUUUCUUUAGAUACAUCAAAUGCUGCUUGAGUGGCCAAAGGGAAAAUGCCAACUCUUUGAAAUGUAGUAUCUCUAACACUUUUCUUCUUUCAGUAGUUUUUCAUGCCCCAAAUAUCAACUUUAACUAAGGAGUAACAUCUAUCCUCAAACUUCAAAAAUAUCCGUUUGUUUUGAGGUUCAUGGUCCACCAUUAUAAGUUUUAAACUGUGCCCAAAGGCUUAGGUAGGGUUCAGCAGUCAGGCAUGACAGAUGCAUAAUUCUAACCAACAGUGCACAUGUGACAUGCUUCCUACUGAAAUUAAACUGCCAAAUAAAAAGGAAGGAUUGUGCCCUUUUUAAUAACAAAGAAUGCAGUCGUUAGAAUUCUUCAGAUUUGGAAUUCCAGCAGCGCUCUAGUGUUUUCUUCUUGAUGUGUGACAAGAAUGAAUAAUAUCAAAAAUAAAAAUAAACCUCAUCUAAACAAGCAGUUCUUUGACUUUAUAAUGUUCAACAUCAAAUACAUCAAAUUCUAAAAAUACUCAAGACCAGUAAAUUAUUAGAGCUGAGGAAAUAACAUGCUGAGGAUAGGAUCAAUUUUUAAACCUUUUGAUUGAUUUUAACCUACUAGCAUUAGUUUUGUUCAUUUUUGUUUAGACAUUGCCACUUCAACUGACUACUAGGGACCAUGGUAUUUCAUAUUCAUAUAAAUAUUUGAAUUUGACCUCAUAAAAAGUCCCUUGGGUCUAUAAUACUUUUAUUCUUGUAUAAUCUGAAACAAAUCCUUUCCUUUUAAAAAUCAAACAGACCACGUUAUACACACAGUUGACUAUUUACAAAGCACCCAAUUAAAUCCUACUUAAUUCUCUUUCACUCUAAAAAUUCCAUCUAACUUGUGUGUGAAGUACCCAUAACAUUAAAUGCAUAAUGUUCACAAACCCUGAUAGUCCUAUCUAACCUAGAAAAUAUUACCU